rnacentral:rRNA from 1 species
GACGAACGCUGGCGGCGUGCCUAACACAUGCAAGUCGAACGGGGUGUUAGCAAUAACUCCUAGUGGCGAACGGGUGAGUAACGCGUAGACAACCUGCCUCUAAACUGGGGACAACACCGCGAAAGUGGUGCUAAUACCGAAUGUGGUAACUUGAUCGCAUGAUCGAGUUAAGAAAGAUGGCCUCUAUUUAUAAGCUAUCGAUUAGAGAUGGGUCUGCGCCUGAUUAGCUAGUUGGUGAGGUAAUGGCUCACCAAGGCGACGAUCAGUAGCCGGUCUGAGAGGAUGAACGGCCACACUGGGACUGAGACACGGCCCAGACUCCUACGGGAGGCAGCAGUGGGGAAUCUUCCGCAAUGGACGAAAGUCUGACGGAGCAACGCCGCGUGAGUGAAGAAGGUCUUCGGAUUGUAAAGCUCUGUCGUUUGGGACGAACGUGGGUAGUGUGAAUAAUGCUAUCUAAUGACGGUACCAAAGGAGGAAGCCACGGCUAACUACGUGCCAGCCGCCGCGGUAA